rnacentral:lncRNA from 1 species
AGCAAAUCCGAACAGGCAAAGGCCUCACUCUCCAGUGCAGUCUGGGAGGACUGAUCAGGGAAGAACAGAUCAGGGUGAAGAACAGAAAGACCCCAAGGCAUCUCCCCAAGAUGACCACAGUUGUCCCUGAAGAAGCAGUCACAGCAAGCUCACUUCACAGGAACCAAGCUGUGGGCUGAUCCUACAGACUUGAAAAGACAACUCAAAAAGAUUGUCUGUGGGGUCAGAAACAGCUCUGGAGGGGUCUGCAGAAAUUACUUUCCCAAGUCUUUGGGCUGGAAGGAACGAACAGUGCCUGACCAAGGACUUUGAGCAGGAGAGAGAUGGGAGCAGAGAGGAGCCAAGGUCUACUAUUUUCACUUCUGUCAAUUAGAUCAAAGCCCUGCCCAGAAGCUUUGAGCGCCGCUGUCAAGUCCCAUUCCUCCCCUAAACCAUCCAGGUUCCAUCUGCCUUGAAGCCAAAGGAUCUUCUUAGAUUCCUCAAGAAAAAUUCAGGCCCCGAGUUUCUCCACCAGCACUCUCCUCUCCCCGAAGGAGUGGGUGGGCUGCAUUUCUCUUCAUAUUCUAUUCCAUUCCAGACCGUCUUGGACUACCAGCCUGUCCGCCACCCCUCGGGGCCCUCCCUCCUACUCUGCCCUUGCCCGCUGAGGUCCCAAGCUGAGGAGAUGAGCCGAGCAGUAAAAAGAGAGGAGGUUUGGAAAAGCAAUGUCCUCUCAGUCUUUAAUAGGUGGCCCCCCUGGGAACCUGCUGGAAGUGGAAGUUAAUAAGCUGAAGGUGGUCACAACCAAUCUCUGCCACACUCGCACCCUACCCCACCCCAAAUCAUUCCUUUUAAUUAAUAGUGGAAGACCUUUUUAAAAAUGUAACAUGAAUUGGCUAUUUCUUGAGGCAAACAAAAGGUGGCUCUGAAGCGAUAUAUUUGUACUCGUAUAAAUUCAUUAAAAUAGAAAGCUUAUAACCAUCCAGGUUUCACUGACAGCCCCAGUCCAUCUACAUGCAGAAAUGGUCCCUCCAAAGCCCUCUACGACAAUUAUUCUCACAGAUCGUCAUGAUAAACUGUAAGGGAAUAUACUAAGAAAGAGGGAAGAAGAGAGGAGGAGUCCAUUUUUAAUUAGUGGUUGGAAAUAGAGUAAAAAUUAGAGGGCCUUAGGUUUAAAACACAGAUGUGCAUUGUGAUCGUCUGAAGGAAGAGCUGUUGACAGAGAAAACAAGGUGGUGAACUAUGCCCUUGGCCUGUGACAGUUAGGUGAGGGUUGCUCACCGCAGAAGACAGACCGGUAGAGCCCAGCAGGAAAGAGGGUAUCAGGCUGGAAGAAGUGCAGUUUGGCCCUGGCGGAGUGGUGGAGUGGCUGGAGCGACUGCAGGAGGAGGAUAGAUCUGGAAGCAGGUCUGGGCUAUACUUUGGCCUCAGCCAGGGAGCCAGAGAAGGAAGGCUUGGGUUCGAGGGGGGAAAUCAUUCUCCCAAAUUGCUUUCUCAGAAGCGCCAAUUCAGAUCACCUGAAGACAGGGUCUGGGCCCCAUUACAGCAUGGUUCCCAAAUGGGAGUGUGCUUGGAAGCCUUGGUGAUUAAAGGGUGCUGACUAAAAGAGUCAAACUCUGUAAAAUAUUUGAAGAGAUUUAUUCUGAGCCAAAUAUGAGUGACCAUGGCCCAUGACACAGCCCUCAGGAGACCCUGAGAACAUGUGUUCAAGGUGGUCGGGGUACAGCUUGGUUUUAUAUGUUUUAGGAAGGCAUGAGACUCAAUCAAAGACAUUUUAAAAAUACAUUGGUUUGGUUCAGAAAGGUGAGACAACUCAAAGUGGGGGCUUCCAGGCUAUAGGUAAAUUUAAACAUUUUCUGACUGACAAUUGGUUGGGUUUAUCUGGAGACCUGGGAUUAAUGGAAAGGAAGGUUCAUGUUAAGAUACAGAACUGUGGGGACCAAGUUUUAUUGUGCAGAGGAAUCUCUCAGAUAGCAGACUUCAGAGAGAGAGAGAGCAGGUUGUAAAAUGUUUCUUAUCGGACCUAAAAGGGUACCUGGCUCUUAGUUGAUUAUCUCCUGGAUCUGGGAAGGAAGGAAGGAAAACAAAGGGGAAAGGAAAUAUUUCCUAUAGAAUAUGGAUUUUUCCCACAAGAGACUUUGCAGGACAAUUUCGAGAUAUGGCAAGGAGAUUUAUUUUGGGGUAAAACAUUUUGAUUUUCUUCCUUGUUAUGCCACAGUCAGAUUGGAAAGUCAGUCAUGAUAUACAGGGUCAGAUAAAAUCCGUCUGAUGAGAAUGUAUGGUUGGUAGGGCAUGACUCCCCAGACCCCUUAGAUAGGAAUCUGGGCAAGAUAAAAAAUCGGAGCUUAGUCCUCAAGGGAAGGGGCAGCAGCGCUGUUGGCGGGCUCACCAAGCAUCAGUACUGGAUCACCAGGCUUGGGAGAGUAGGGGUGUCAAGGCCCCAAGAGCAGGGAGGGCCUUGGCCCCACUAGGGGGGCAUCAGAAAGCAGGGAGCACUUGUAGUUCACCAUGAUUCCCCUCAAAGCCCUGGGCCAGCCUCCUGCAGGGAAGGCGGGCAGGAAGUCUUCCCCAUAGGGGCAGGCUUGCUUUUUUGGCCAGCCAUCCUCUUCAUAUGAAAAACAGCAUCUUGUCAUUUCUAGAUGUUUCUACUUUGGUUGACUCUUUAAUUUUUCUGCAGUUAAAAGCCUUAAAACAGCAAGGAAGCAGGGGACAGGAGGGGAGCCCAGAUCUCUCCCAAAGAAAAGGAGAAAGACUGAAUCCUUGAGGCCUGCCGUACAAAGGAGUGGUGGGUUGGAGGAGGGUAGGCAGAGACUAGGGUGGUCUGGGACUUUAAGUACAAGGCCCCGUGGAUUUCAUUGGGGGGCAAGCCAUGUGCAACAGGGAAGCUCAGGAACCGGGGGGUUUCGCACAGAGGUCUGGUGCUGUGAGGUACAGGGAAAGAAUUAGUGGAUCUGGACCAGUGGAACAUUGGUUUAGUGUAAUCUCUGAUUUGUGUUGAGUGAAUUUGAGUAUAGUCCAACCACCACCCCCCUACCCCAACUAAACCAUGUGCCCCUCAGGAGCUGGGACUCUUCUAUUUUCUAUUCCUUAUAGCAGGCUCAGUGCCUGACACACUACGUUGAAUUUUAUUUUAAACAUUUCAUUUACAUUAAAUGGUAUAUUUGCAAGUUCAAAAAAAAAAAAAAA